ensembl:lncRNA
AGGAGGAAGAGGAGGCCCAGCAAUGUCUGGUGGAGGAGGAGGCGGAAGAGGGCCAGCAAUGGCUGGUAGAGGAAGAGGAGGAGGAGGAGAGGCAGCGAUGUGUGGUAGACUAGGAAGAGGAGGAGGAAGGCCAGCAAUGUCUGGUAGAGGAGGAGGAGGAGGAGGGCCAGCGAUGUCUGGUAGAGGAGGAGGAGAAGGAGGAGGAGGAGAGGCAGUAAUGUCUGGUAGAGGAGGAAGUGGAGGAGGGGGAGGGCCAGCAAUGUCCGGUAGAGCAGGAGGAGGAGAAAGGCCAGCAAUGUCUGGUAGAGGAGGAGGAGGAGGAGGAGGAGGAGGAGGAGGAGGAGGAGGAGGAGGAGGAGGUGGCGGAAUGGUAGUACACACCUGCAGUCGCAGCCAGCUUUGAUGGCAAAGGAGCAGAGAAGACAGCUGGCAUGAGACAGGUGAUGCUCUUCUGAAGCUCCAGUGUGCCUCAGGAUCACUUAAGUCAGCACAAGAUUUGUGGUCGUCAUGUAUACAAGGCUCACAGGUAGCACCUAGGAGGAAGUGGCUAUUCUCUUAGGACAGCUUUGCCCUCUUAAACUCCAUAGGAGCAGGUCCUGAGCUGCUGGAGGAUGAUUUGGUGGCUCAUUUAGCAGCUGUGUGUGCAGAAGCCUAGAGAGAGGAUGAGGUGACCCUAAAGGCCAGCUUCCCCCUAACUCUGGCCUCAUGAGAGGCAAGGAGGCCAGAGUUAGAGGCCAGCUUGCAGGUGUGGUUUGAGGCAACCUUGCUUGUCAUGACCCCAGAUCCCCCAUCGUGCACUGUGGUGCUUGGGGCUUCCUCUUCCCAUUAAAGAGCUGCUCAGUGCCUCAAAGGGAGUUAUAACAUGGGGGCAUCUGUUUCCUCCCACAGCCCUCUGGUGUAGCUGAAGCUGCCAACAUCGCUGAGCCUGAGCUUUGGUCAGGCACCUUUGAGAAGUGCUGUCUGUUGUGGUGUAUUUGAGUCAUAGCCCUGGGUAUGGGGGUAUGUGGCUGUGGCAGAGGCAGAGGCAAUGGCAGUUCCAGGAGGGAAAAGAGCCUGGGUGACAUUAGAGACCACCUGGGAGCUGUCAUGGUUCCCUGGGCUCAUAAUUGUGAAUAAGGAAUCCCCAAGGACUGGGUGUGUUGUGCUGCUUGAGGCUGGAGUAGAGGCUGGGGCCAGUCCUGGAGAUGUAGCUCCCAGGGCUUUGAAAUGGAGGCCACUAGGAUAAGUGGCUGCUCCAUGCUGCUGCCUAUGCCUAUCAAUGGCCCCCAGUAUGGGCAGCUUGCUAGAGGCAGAGUUAAUGUGAUGUUUCCCUUGUGUGGCCUGGUUUAAUGGUUCCCUUGUAUGGCUGGGGUUCGGUGUGGGCAGGGUGGAGGCUGUGGCUGCGCUGCCACUGGGCAAGUCACAAUAGCCUGUGCAGAGGGGAAGGAGUUCCCACUGGAGCCAGUGGGAGGCCCCAGGAGGAGAGGAUCAGGGUGCGGGUGUGGUAUCCAUAGGGGUGACCCCGUCAUCAGGGCCCGAUGUGUCCAUAGGGGUGACCCCGUCAUCAGGCCCUGAUGUGUCCAUAGGGGUGACCCCGUCAUCAGGCCCCGAUGUAUCCAUAGGGGUGACCCCGUCAUCAGGCCCAGAUGAACCCAUAGGGGUGAACCCUAACUGAGGAGCAGAGCCUUGGGUUUGGGAGGAUGAGAACAGGGCCCCAGGAGGUGCUGUGAGAGAUGUGGCACCUGCUGCUGCUGUAUUAGAGGCCCUUGGAUUCAAAGGGCCCGGGUCCUCCCCAUUCUUAGUGGGCCCCCAGGUGAGUUUCCUCUUUUCCUUUCCAUGAGGAAAGCACUCCCCAACUGAAGGCCUAGGCAAAGCAGGAGUCUUGCCUCUCCUGAUGCUGUCCUUGCCAGCAGCAGGAGAUGGGACAGGUGCCGAGGAGCUGGGGGCAGCAUCUGUGGUGUGUGAGGAGGGGACUGGAAGGGGCUGUGAGCUCAAGAGGGGAGCAGCUAAAGUGGACUUCCUCUUAGACCCUGGCUCCACUGAGGUGGCCACAGCAGCAGGUGCCAGGGGGCCCCCUGAGACCUUGGAAUCCUGCUUCUUUCUGUUCUUAGUCUCCCUUCCCUUCCUGUUGGGCACUGCAGGGACAGAACAUGGAGCAGUCCCUGGGGCAGGCAAGGGAGGAGGGCAGGAAGGCUGUGUGGUCUUUCUGACCUUGGCCUGCGAUUCCCCCAGCAGGAUUUCAUUUAUGCGCCGCCGUGCAGCCUCCUUCUCCCCAGCUAUGUCUUCAGGGGUUACCUCAUAGCUUAGUUUAGGAGGUGGUAACAGGGUCAGAGGGACCCCUUGCCUAGGCCUCAGAAGGGGAGUUUUGCGUUUUCCUCGUCCAGAAUCCUCCACUGUGGGCACGCAAUUCCUCCUUGUUUCUGCCUGCCUCGAUGUCACGUCUGCCACUUUGUUUCCAGUGUUCGAGGGAACUUGUGGGCCUGAACAUGAAUACUGGAAGCCAUUCUCCCUUGGAUCUUUGGAGGGCCCCAGAAGUGGCCUAGUGUGAAUUGUGGCUAGAGCCCUCCUUUGCAGUCCUGCCAACCCUCCACUUGAGCUGUAUGAGCUCGUGAUGGCAUUUCGCCGAAUCAACGAGCUCACACAGGAGGGCUGGGAGCAAGGGUCAGGUUUAUCUCUGGAGCUCUGCCUGCAGUACUUUCUACAUAGAGGCCCAGGUCUUGGGACAAAAGGAAUAACACCUUGCUGGCCUUCAACGGGCCUGAAUGCAGAUGGUAGCUUCCCAGGACCAUAGGUGCCCCUCCUGUGCUGAGCCUGUUGCUCCAUGAGCCCAAGAGCCAGUUUGCUCAGUACUGGGGGAUGAGCUACAGGGUAUCUGAAAACCGCCUGCAGAGAGCACCAGCUUCCUCUGAAUACAGCCUGCUGGUUGAGGCAGACAAGGGUCUACCAGGAACAGGAAGUGUUUGGAAUAGUCUUUCCCCAAAGCUGAUGUGAACCCCAGAAUGCUGUGGGACGUCUAGAAGUGGAUCCACCAGAAAAGGGUAUUGUCUAAAAUUUUUUGGAGUGCCGGUUUGGUAUUCAUGAAGUUCCUGAGGAAGUACCCACUACUUCUUAUGACACAGGUAUCCCACCAGCCUUACCCUGGAAGGUGCUUAGGAGAACGGUCCGAACACCGUGUUUCAACUACACCUGAUUUUCUACAAUGAGCUUGCAUUACUUCCACAACAGCAGAAUAGGAGGGGGCAGUGGUAAGGAAUCACCAUUCAGUGAUGAACGUAACUUUGAACCCAUGACCUAUCACUUCAAUGGCUGGACAUGAGCAAGGAGCUGGGUCCGGACACGGCUGCCUACUGCUGCCCCGCGUGCUAGGGUGACGAGAGCUGGAGCUACAAACAUCUGGUCUGCAGCUGGGCCAAGUCCCAGAGCCUGUCGGCCUCGCCCACCCUGGGCAGCACCAAGGAGUUCAGGAGAACGCGCUUUCUCCAUGGACCAUGCCCAGUGAUCACAUUUGGACCAAAGGCCUGCGUGCUGCCGAACCCCCAGACCAUCAUGCACAUUCAGGACCCUGCAAGCCAGGGGUUGACGUGGAACAAGUCCCCAAAGAGUGUGCUUGUCAUCAAGAAGAUCCGAGAUGCCAGCUUGCUUCAGCCUUUCAAGGAGCUCUGCAUAUACCUCAUGGAGGAGAACGGCAUGAUCCUGUACGUGGAGAAGAAGGGGCUGGAGGACCCUGCCAUUGCACGUGACGACAACUUCGGACCAGUGAAGAAGAGGUUCUGCACCUUCUGGGAAGAUUGUGACGACAUUUCCAACCAAAUAGACUUCAUCAUAUGCCUGGGAGGUGACGGGACCCUGCUGUACGCCUCCUCACUGUUCCAGGGCAGUGUGCCUCCUGUCAUGGCCUUCCACCUGGGCUCCCUGGGCUUCCUGACCCCGUUCACCCUCAAGAGCUUCUAGUUGCAGCUGACCCAGGUGAUUGAAGGGAACGCUGCUGUGGUGCUCCGGAGCCGGCUGAAGGUCAGGGUGGUGAAGGAGCCCUGCAGCAAGAAGAUGGCCAAGCACAACGGGCUCAGCGAGAACGGGCUGCCGGGCCCCCCCCCUCGAGGGCGGGAAGCAGGCCCUGCAGUACCAGGUCCUGAACGAGGUCGUGAUCGACAGGGGCCCUUCCUAGUACCUGUCCAACGUGGACGUCUACCUGGACUGACACCUCAUCACCACGAUGCAGGGCGAUGGAGUGAUCGUGUCCACCCCAACGGGCAGCAUGGCGUACGCGGCUGCAGCCGGUGCCUCCAUGAUCCACCCCAACGUGCCAGCCAUCAUGAUCACACCCAUCUGCCCCCACUCGCUGACCUUCCAGCCCAUCGUGGUCCCCGCGGGGGUGGAGCUGAAGAUCACGCUGUCACCAGAAGCCAGGAACACUGCGUGGGUGUCCUUGGACGGACGGAAGCGGCAGGAGAUACGCCACGGAGACAGCAUCACCAUCGCCACCUCCUGCUACCCGCUCCCCUCCAUCUGCAUCAGCGACCCUGUGAAUGACUGGUUUGAGAGCCUGGCGC